UUGGGGAGGAGCGGCUUGACGUGCACGCGGAGGAGCGCCAGGGCGAAGCCGAUCGGCAACCACAGGAAGGUGAGCAGCGCGUUGAUGUCGGUCGGGCGCCGGACGAGGCGACCGUCGUGGAGGAUGACAGGGCUCUCCAGCUGGUUCUUUGGCACCGGGCUGUACUUGCUCCGAGUCACGAUGUACCCUUCCUGCACGCACGCACGCGCAACUUAG
rnacentral:rRNA from 1 species